AGAGGAACACGUGAAGCCCACUGUAUAUAAGCACAGGUGUACUGCGUUCACCAUUAUUAUACUGUUAACCUAUCAUCCGCAGAACUGCUACCGUCCAUCACAGUCAAAUUCGGAGCCAGCAAAAGGAGUGGGGAGGACACGUGCUGCCACCCGGGAGCCCCGGUGCCAUUUGUAACUCUGCCAAGAGCCACCGGGACGGACAGAAAUAACUGAGGAGACUCUAUUAAGAGCUGUUACACUGGCAAGCUAUGCUGCUGAAGUUGCUGUUACUUUUGCCAAGGUAUCUGUACGAGUCAUUCUGUCGUUUCACCGGGUAAUAAAAGGACACAAGCAGGUAGCUUCAAUUCAUUUGUGCCAUCAGACUGCUCAAGAGACAAAACAAAACAUUAUUCCUUUUAAAGAGGAUUGCACACUUCACAGCUUCCCUAGUUUCUCAUAAUAGCUGACCUCUAGCUAAGUUCUCUUGCAUUCUACUUUGUUUUACACACGUGGUAAGAAAGAUUACAACUUGUUUGUGCUGGGAAAGUUUAGCACUUUUGGCAAAGUACAUCUGCCAGUUCUUAACAGAAGUGCCUGAAACUUAAAUCUAAGAAACAUCUGUGGUUAUGAGAAGUUCUAAACAUUUCCAAAGGUACACUUCAGCAGUCUAAACUAAACCAUACUUACACCGAUGCCAUCCAUACAAGUUCGUUGUUUUAAAGAGCCCAAGCUAAACAAUAUAGACAAACUUGAUAUAUCCAUCCCACAAGCCCCCUUUUCAUGGCUGUGUGAUCUGCACACACCCCUGUAUUGCCCAACAGCUGAAGUAAAGAGGAGUUCAGUACUGUUAAGGCUGUUAAGGUAAAUCUCCUAAGGGAAAAAAGAUAGGUUAUUUUAUUUUCACUCCUAAUGUUUUUCAGUAAUUAUCUUCAGAGCACACACAGAAAGAAGUAUCAGAACAGCAUAGGACAGGUUGACUGGAUGUAAAAUUAGUGCCUUUGGACACAUGUGCAUGCACAGUAUGGAAACGUAGAAUCAUGAAGGUCGGAAAAGACCUCCAAAAUCACCUGGUCCAACCACCCCCCUACCACAAA